UUGAGGCUAGUGAGACUAGUGACCACCAUAUGAGGUUUAGUGCGUUUUUACUUAAUUUACCAUUCUUAUUGUUUAUUCUUACUUUACGAAAUUGGAUUUGUCAGUAAUUUUGGCGGACCAAACCAAAGGUUUUUUUUUUUUUUUAGGGAAUAGCAAGAAAGUCAUACAAUAUAGGUUAGAAGGUUAGUAAAUUAGUAGACGUUAAGUCGAACUCGAGACCUUAGUGAGGUUGGAAGAAGUACCCAACUAACUGAGCCAACUUGCAAGUUCGACCAAACCAAGGUUGUAUCAUUAUCGAUCGGAGCUAAUCGUUACUAUCAUAAUGAAAGGACUCACUACAAAGGCAAAAGUCCAACCAUGUACCUCAAUCUCAGCUCUCCAGACUCUGAUAGAAAGAAAAGAAAGCCCUAAAUUGUACGACGGUGGAAGGGGAUCACAAUAUUGGAGACUGGGUCAACAUUUAAGUGGAAGGGAAUUACCAUAGUCUGGUUUUUAUAUGAUUUGAACAAAAGCCUUCUAGCUUUACAAAUUACAGAGCUCACUUGAGUUUUGCACUCCACUUUUUAUUUGGUGGAAUGGGCAUUGAAGUUGCUCAUUGUUUGGCUUCUAAGGGGCUGGGGGGUCUUGUACCUGGAUUAAUAGGCCCCUUUGUAGCUCCAUCCUCCAUUAAGCAUGGAUGGGUGGUAUGUUUCUGGUUGAUUCUCUGAUCCUCAUUAUCAUAUAAAUUAAAAUAAAAACCACAACUAAUGGUGGUGGGCAGUAGAGAAUCGAGGGUUGUAGUAAACCACAUUAUAACUCCUUUUAUUGUAGUUGAUUUCCAAAAAAAUAAUAAUAAUACAACAAAACUUAUUUAUGUAAGAUUGCUGAUCAUACAAGUAGAGUUUCCCCAGCAUAAUUAACAAAAGAAAGAGAGAGAGAGAGAGAGAGAGAGAAUAUUUACAACAUCAGGCCACCAACAUAAGUUUGGAGAAUUAUCUUUGAGAUAGCUAAACAACAGAAUUGGUAGGCUGAGAUGCCAAACCAACCUCCACUUAUCAUAUUCAUUUACCGUAUUGAUUCUCAAAUAGAAGAUUUG